rnacentral:rRNA from 1 species
CCUACGGGAGGCAGCAGUGAGGAAUAUUGGUCAAUGGACGGAAGUCUGAACCAGCCAUGCCGCGUGCAGGAAUAAGGUCCUAUGGAUUGUAAACUGCUUUUAUAUGGGAAUAAACCCCUUUACGUGUAGAGGGCUGAAGGUACCAUUUGAAUAAGCACCGGCUAACUCCGUGCCAGCAGCCGCGGUAAU